GACGAACGCUGGCGGCGUGCCUAAUACAUGCAAGUUGAGCGCUGAAGGUUGGUACUUGUACCAACUGGAUGAGCAGCGAACGGGUGAGUAACGCGUGGGGAAUCUGCCUUUGAGCGGGGGACAACAUUUGGAAACGAAUGCUAAUACCGCAUAAAAACUUUAAACACAAGUUUUAAGUUUGAAAGAUGCAAUUGCAUCACUCAAAGAUGAUCCCGCGUUGUAUUAGCUAGUUGGUGAGGUAAAGGCUCACCAAGGCGAUGAUACAUAGCCGACCUGAGAGGGUGAUCGGCCACAUUGGGACUGAGACACGGCCCAAACUCCUACGGGAGGCAGCAGUAGGGAAUCUUCGGCAAUAGACGAAAGUCUGACCGAGCAACGCCGCGUGAGUGAAGAAGGUUUUCGGAUCGUAAAACUCUGUUGGUAGAGAAGAACGUUGGUGAGAGUGGAAAGCUCAUCAAGUGACGGUAACUACCCAGAAAGGGACGGCAAACUACGUG
rnacentral:rRNA from 1 species